rnacentral:tRNA from 1 species
GGAGGGUAUAGCUCAACUGGUAGAGCGCAUGCUUAUUAUGCAUGAGGUCCUGGGUUCAAUCCCCGGUACCUCCU